rfam:Aerococcus christensenii strain CCTG28831, complete genome.
UGCGGUGACGAUAGCAAGAAGGAUACACCUGUUCCCAUACCGAACACAGAAGUUAAGCUUCUUAGCGCCGAAUGUAGUUGGGGGUUUCCCCCUGUGAGACUAGGACGUUGCCGUGC